rnacentral:rRNA from 1 species
GACGAACGCUGGCGGCGUGCUUAACACAUGCAAGUCGAACGGAAAGGCCCUGCUUUUGUGGGGUGCUCGAGUGGCGAACGGGUGAGUAACACGUGUGUAACCUGCCCUUGACUUUGGGAUAACUUCAGGAAACUGGGGCUAAUACCGGAUAGGAGCUCCUGCUGCAUGGUGGGGGUUGGAAAGUUUCGGCGGUUGGGGAUGGACUCGCGGCUUAUCAGCUUGUUGGUGGGGUAGUGGCUUACCAAGGCUUUGACGGGUAGCCGGCCUGGGAGGGUGACCGGCCACAAUAGGACUGAGGGACGGACCAGACUGCAACGUGAGGCAGUAGUGGGAAGUCUUGCACAACGGGCCGAAGCCUGAGGCAGAAACGCCGCGUGCGGGAUGACGGCCUUCGGGUUGUAAACCGCUUUCGCCUGUGACGAAGCGGGAGUGACGGUAAUGGGUAAAGAAGCACCGGCUAACUACGUG